rfam:Fukomys damarensis contig71343, whole genome shotgun sequence.
GCUGAUGCUGGCGGUGAUGCCAAAGGUGCAAGCUGGAAGUGGGUGCUACGUCAUCGUCGUCACCGCCAUCAUCGUCGUC